rnacentral:misc_RNA from 1 species
GGAAGCCGGUGUGAAUCCGGCGCAGUCGCGCUACUGUGACCGCCCUCCAGGACGAGAGUCCGAGGGGGCGGGAGCCAGAC